GACGAACGCUGGCGGCGUGCCUAAUACAUGCAAGUUGAGCGAUGAAGAUUGGUGCUUGCACCAAUUUGAAGAGCAGCGAACGGGUGAGUAACGCGUGGGGAAUCUGCCUUUGAGCGGGGGACAACAUUUGGAAACGAAUGCUAAUACCGCAUAACAACUUUAAACAUAAGUUUUAAGUUUGAAAGAUGCAAUUGCAUCACUCAAAGAUGAUCCCGCGUUGUAUUAGCUAGUUAGUGAGGUAAAGGCUCACCAAGGCGAUGAUACAUAGCCGACCUGAGAGGGUGAUCGGCCACAUUGGGACUGAGACACGGCCCAAACUCCUACGGGAGGCAGCAGUAGGGAAUCUUCGGCAAUGGACGAAAGUCUGACCGAGCAACGCCGCGUGAGUGAAGAAGGGUUUCGGAUCGUAAAACUCUGUUGGUAGAGAAGAACGUUGGUGAGAGUGGAAAGCUCAUCAAGUGACGGUAACUACCCAGAAAGGGACGGCUAACUACGUG
rnacentral:rRNA from 1 species